AUUCCGUGAUGAGCGCACUUCCAUAAAAAAUUUUUUUACCUUUCCCAUGCCUCUAACAAGGACUCGUCAUCCAUUUGUUGGAAAGCAGUGACCUUAUUCCUCAACUU
rfam:Gossypium hirsutum cultivar TM-1 chromosome 5, whole genome shotgun sequence